GUGUCAGCCGCCGCGGUAAUACAGAGGGUGCGAGCGUUGUCCGGAAUCACUGGGCGUAAAGGGCGCGUAGGCGGCCUCUCGCGCGUGCGGUGAAAGCCCGGGGCUCAACUCCGGGUCGGCCGUGCGGACGGGGAGGCUGGAGUCUGGUAGAGGCCGAUGGAAUUCCGGGUGUAGCGGUGGAAUGCGUAGAGAUCCGGAAGAACACCAGUGGCGAAGGCGGUCGGCUGGGCCAGCAUCCGCGAGGAUGGUCUGUGCAAACAGAUACUGACGCUGAGGCGCGACAGCGUGGGGAGCAAACAGGAUUAGAAACCCGAGUAGUCC
rnacentral:rRNA from 1 species